AGCGAACGCUGGCGGCAGGCUUAACACAUGCAAGUCGAACGGGCUUCUUCGGAAGUCAGUGGUAGACGGGUGAGUAACACGUGGGAACGUGCCCUUCGGUUCGGAAUAACUCAGGGAAACUUGAGCUAAUACCGGAUACGCCCUUUUGGGGAAAGGUUGACGGCCGAAGGUUCGGCUCGCGUCUGAUUAGCUUGUUGGUGGGGUAACGGCCUUCCACGGCGACGAUCAGGAGCUGGUCUGUGAGGAGGAUCAGCCACACUGGGACGGAGACGCAGCCCAGACUCCUACGAGAGGCAGCAGUGGGGAAUAUAGGACAAUGGGCGCAGUCCUGAUCCAGCCAUGCCGCGUAAGUGAUGAAAGCCUUAGGGUUGUAAAGCUCUUUUGUCCGGGACGAUAAUGACGGUACCGGAAGAAUAAGCCCCGGCUAACUUCGUG
rnacentral:rRNA from 1 species